GGCUGGUUAGCUCAGUUGGUGAGAGCGUGAUGCUAACAACGCCAAGGUCGUGGGUCCGAUCCCCGUACUGGCCA